rnacentral:rRNA from 1 species
UGGGGAAUAUUGCACAAUGGGCGCAAGCCUGAUGCAGCCAUGCCGCGUGUAUGAAGAAGGCCUUCGGGUUGUAAAGUACUUUCAGCGGGGAGGAAGGUGUUGUGGUUAAUAACCACAGCAAUUGACGUUACCCGCAGAAGAAGCACCGGCUAACUCCGUGCCAGCAGCCGCGGUAAUACGGAGGGUGCAAGCGUUAAUCGGAAUUACUGGGCGUAAAGCGCACGCAGGCGGUCUGUCAAGUCGGAUGUGAAAUCCCCGGGCUCAACCUGGGAACUGCAUCCGAAACUGGCAGGCUUGAGUCUUGUAGAGGGGGGUAGAAUUCCAGGUGUAGCGGUGAAAUGCGUAGAGAUCUGGAGGAAUACCGGUGGCGAAGGCGGCCACCUGGACAAAGACUGACGCUCAGGUGCGAAAGCGUGGGGAGCAAACA